rnacentral:lncRNA from 1 species
AACAAACCCCGAAUUGUAAACAUCAGAUAAGAACCCCCAAAACAAAAGACUUCCUGUCUCCCUCCCAAUAACAAGACCCUUUCCCAGAACAGGUUACUUGUGGUAGCUAGAUCACUGGGGGAAUGUUACUGUUAUAAAAGAAGGCAGAGGUAUAUUUGUCAGAUUCACUUCUGUACUGCACCCCCAUCCAUGGGGCAGGCAGGGAGGUCGACUCUGCAAGCUUUUGGUGUUACUGUACAUUAGGUAUUGACAAUCAAGAUGUAAGAAGCGGGUACAAUGAGAGGAAACAGUCCUCUAGGCCAGAUUGCCAGGGUGAGUGGGUUAUCAUAUUCAAUGUAUAAACCACUAAUUCAAUGUAGUUUUAAUUGGGAAUUAAGUUUGAUUUUUUGACAAAGUUCACUUGAUGGUUGUAUUCAUUUAUUUGUUGGGAGAGUUAUCCAUUGCGAUGGAAGAACUUUAUUUGUGAUUAGAUACUUGUUAUUUUCAUGCAAUAUUGAUUAAGUUUUAAUGAAUGGAAUAUAAACAACAUGUUUAUCAUUUAUUAUCAUGAGUCGGCUUGACGUCAUAUUGUUGGAAUUCGUAUCUUGGAGUCAUUAACGAAUAUUAUGUUUAUCGCUAUUAUGUGUGUUUUUCAAACAUGUCCUCAUUUCUAUUUAAUUGUUUUAACUUUGUUUAUUUGUUCAGGCUUUUAUCUUGCACCUGAAAUAAAACGAACCGCAACACAAA